UCCCUUCCCUCAGCAGUGCAUAAACUAAAAUUGGAAUGAUACAGAGAAGAUAAGCAUAACCCCUGUGCAUUUCACGGUUUCGAAAUGAUGAAAAUGCAGGUCAU